rnacentral:rRNA from 1 species
CAUUACAGAGUUCAUGCCCUCACGGGUAGAUCUCCCACCCUUGAAUAUUAUACCUUCGUUGCUUUGGCAGGCCGUGGAGACACCACGGGCUUCGGUACGUGCGUGCCUGCCAGAGGAAACAAACUCUGUUUUUAGUGAUGUCUGAGUACUAUAUAAUAGUUAAAACUUUCAACAACGGAUCUCUUGGUUCUGGCAUCGAUGAAGAACGCAGCGAAAUGCGAUAAGUAAUGUGAAUUGCAGAAUUCAGUGAAUCAUCGAAUCUUUGAACGCACAUUGCGCCCCGUGGUAUUCCGCGGGGCAUGCCUGUUCGAGCGUCAUUUCAACCCAUCAAGCUUUGGCUUGGUCUUGGGGCCUGCGGUUUCGCAGCCUCUAAACUCAGUGGCGGUGCUUCUGAGCUCUGAGCGUAGUAAUUUUUUCUCGCUAUAGGGUCUCGGAGGUUACUUGCCAACAACCCCCAAUUUUUAUCAGGUUGACCUCGGAUCAGGUAGGGAUACCCGCUGAACUUAAGCAUAUCAAUAAGCGGAGGAAAAGAAACCAACAGGGAUUACCUCAGUAACGGCGAGUGAAGCGGUAACAGCUCAAAUUUGAAAUCUGCCGCAAGGCCGAGUUGUAAUUUGUAGAAGAUGCUUUGGGUAUGGCCCCGGUCUAAGUUCGUUGGAACACGACGUCAUAGAGGGUGAGAAUCCCGUAUGUGACUGGGUGCUUUUGCCUAUGUAAAGCUCUUUCGACGAGUCGAGUUGUUUGGGAAUGCAGCUCAAAAUGGGUGGUAUAUUUCAUCUAAAGCUAAAUAUUGGCCAGAGACCGAUAGCGCACAAGUAGAGUGAUCGAAAGAUGAAAAGCACUUUGGAAAGAGAGUUAAACAGUACGUGAAAUUGUUGAAAGGGAAGCGCUUGCAACCAGACUUGCACGCUGUUGAUCAUCCAGGCUUCUGUUUGGUGCACUCAACUGUGUUCAGGCCAGCAUCGGUUUUGGUGGUGGGAUAAAGGCCUUGGGAAUGUAGCUUCUUUCGGGGAGUGUUAUAGCCCUCGGUGCAAUGCCGCCUACCGGGACCGAGGACCGCGCUUCGGCUAGGA